GAUGAACGCUGGCGGCGUGCCUAACACAUGCAAGUCGAACGAAGCAAUUAAGAUGAAGUUUUCGGAUGGAAUCUUGAUUGACUGAGUGGCGGACGGGUGAGUAACGCGUGGAUAACCUGCCUCACACUGGGGGAUAACAGUUAGAAAUGACUGCUAAUACCGCAUAAGCGCACAGUGCCGCAUGGCAGUGUGUGAAAAACUCCGGUGGUGUGAGAUGGAUCCGCGUCUGAUUAGCCAGUUGGCGGGGUAACGGCCCACCAAAGCGACGAUCAGUAGCCGACCUGAGAGGGUGACCGGCCACAUUGGGACUGAGACACGGCCCAAACUCCUACGGGAGGCAGCAGUGGGGAAUAUUGCACAAUGGGCGAAAGCCUGAUGCAGCGACGCCGCGUGAGUGAAGAAGUAUUUCGGUAUGUAAAGCUCUAUCAGCAGGGAAGAAAAUGACGGUACCUGACUAAGAAGCCCCGGCUAACUACGUGCCAGCAGCCGCGGUAAUACGUAGGGGGCAAGCGUUAUCCGGAUUUACUGGGUGUAAAGGGAGCGUAGACGGCGAAGCAAGUCUGAAGUGAAAACCCAGGGCUCAACCCUGGGACUGCUUUGGAAACUGUUUUGCUAGGGUGUCGGAGAGGUAAGUGGAAUUCCUAGUGUAGCGGUGAAAUGCGUAGAUAUUAGGAGGAACACCAGUGGCGAAGGCGGCUUACUGGACGAUAACUGACGUUGAGGCUCGAAAGCGUGGGGAGCAAACAGGAUUUAGAUACCCUGUUAGUCCACGCCGUAAACGAUGAAUGCUAGGUGUUGGGGGGGGCAAAGCCCUUCGGUGCCCGCCGCAAACGCAGUAAGCAUUUCACGUGGGGAGUACGUUCGCAAGAAUGAAACUCAAGGGAAUUGACGGGGACCCGCACAAGCGGUGGAGCAUGUGGUUUAAUUCGAAGCAACGCGAAGAUCCUUACCAAGUCUUGACAUCCCCCUGACGGGCCGGUAACGCGGCCUUUCCUUCGGGACAGGGGAGACAGGUGGUGCAUGGUUGUCGUCAGCUCGUGUCGUGAGAUGUUGGGUUAAGUCCCGCAACGAGCGCAACCCUUAUCCUUAGUAGCCAGCACGUGAAGGUGGGCACUCUAGGGAGACUGCCAGGGAUAACCUGGAGGAAGGUGGGGAUGACGUCAAAUCAUCAUGCCCCUUAUGAUUUGGGCUACACACGUGCUACAAUGGCGUAAACAAAGGGAAGCGAGACAGUGACGUGGAGCAAAUCCCAAAAAUAACGUCCCAGUUCGGACUGUAGUCUGCAACCCGACUACACGAAGCUGGAAUCGCUAGUAAUCGCGAAUCAGAAUGUCGCGGUGAAUACGUUCCCGGGUCUUGUACACACCGCCCGUCACACCAUGGGAGUCAGCAACGCCCGAAGUCAGUGACCCAACCGAAAGGAGGGAGCUGCCGAA
rnacentral:rRNA from 1 species